rnacentral:sRNA from 1 species
GUCUUUUCGAGGUAGGAGUCGACUCCUGUGAGGUAUGGUGCUGGGUGCAGAUGCAGUGUGGCUCUGGAUAGCACCUUAUGGACAGUUGUGUCCCCAAGGAAGGAUGAGAAUAGCUACUGAAGUCCUAAAGAGCAAGCCUAACUCAAGCCAUUGGCACACAGGCAUUAGACAGAAAGCUGGAAGUUGAAAUGGUGGAGUCCAACUUGCCUGGACCAGCUUAAUGGUUCUGCUCCUGGUAACGUUUUUAUCCAUGGAUGACUUGCUUGGGACUCAGAAUUCAUGAUUGAAGAAAUGCAGGCAGACCUGUUAUCCUAAACUAGGGUUUUUAAUGACCACAACAAGCAAGCAUGCAGCUUACUGCUUGAAAGGGUCUUGCCUCACCCAAGCUAGAGUGCAGUGGCCUUUGAAGCUUACUACAGCCUCAAACUUCUGGGCUCAAGUGAUCCUCAGCCUCCCAGUGGUCUUUGUAGACUGCCUGAUGGAGUCUCAUGGCACAAGAAGAUUAAAACAGUGUCUCCAAUUUUAAUAAAUUUUUGCAAUCCAUCAAAAAAAAAAAAAAAAAA